rnacentral:lncRNA from 1 species
CAACAUCCCUUUUGGCCAGAAUUUGUUGUUAAGUUGUUGACAUCCCUUAAUUCAAGCUAACACAAUUGGGCACUCUACAAUUAUCUUCCCACAAAGGCAGAGAGACUAAUACUUUCUGUUCAUCAUAUAAUGAGUGCCUUGCAGAGGUGGUGGGUGGCAAGAGCUCAGAAUAUUUAUGAAGCUUCUUGAUUGACUCUUACAUUUAUUCUCAAGUGACAAUUUCAGCUAUGCAUAAGACAGCCAGAUAACUAUUUAAGGUAACACCGUAUUUUUGGAAAUGUUAUUUUUUUCUUCCUAAAAGGGUAAGAGACUUUACUGGCAGUUUCAGUUUUUUCCCCUUCCAUUCCUAGAGAACUUUGUCAACAUGAGGAUGACUUGACAGAGGAAACUUUCGAUGAGGACUACAGGGGGCCACUGGAUUUCAGAGCUGCAUGAGAUCUUGGAGUAACCACUUCUCAUUACCAUGCUUGAACGUCAGGUGAAGUGAAGGCAGGAGACAGGUCUUAAAAACCUCUGUGUCACUGGAGGUCUGUUGAGGGAAAAACAUAGGUCUUCUUAGUCCUAACAAAGCUUAGCCUUGACCCAGAAGAAGAAGAAGAAGAAGAAGAAGAAGAAGAAGAAGAAGAAGAAGAAGAAGAAGAAGAAGAAGAGGAGGAGGAGGAGGAGGAGGAGGAGGAGGAGGAGGAGGAGGAGGAGGAGGAGGAGGAGGAGGAGGAGGAGGAGGAGGAGGAAGGGGAGGAGGAGGAAGAGGAGGAAGAGAAAGAAAAGGAAAAAGAGGAAGGAGAAGGAGACGGAGGAGAAGAAGAAGAAGAAGAGGGAGAAGAAGGAGACGGAGGACAAGAAGAAGAAGAAGAAGAAGAGGGAGAAGAAGGAGAAGUAGGAGCAGGAGCAAGGAUGGUGCACACAGGACAGUUUUCCAGCUGGUAAAUCAUCAACAGGGAUCUUGCUGUGUGAAGGAUGUAUUAAAGAAGGAUACCUUUCUAAUUCCUACAUAGUGUCCAUGGUAGUGAACUGUGUCUAUGUUAUGCAGUUUGGUGAAAUAUUGAAAGAAUGAAGCCUAUUUAAUGUACAUAUUGACAGGUGUCAUCUAGUGUGUUCAGGCAAACACUAAAGGACUUUCACGUGAGAGGAGUAGGUUGUGGUUAACUAGAUUCAGUGAGCUCAGAGCUCAUCAAUUUGGCAGGAUGGCUGACCAAUAAGCUUCACGGACCUGCUUGUCUUUACCCUCCUGGGGCUACAGGCACAUGCUGCUCUGCCUGGCUUUUAUUUGGAUGCUAGGGGUCCUCAUGUUGGGAAGUGGGCAUUUUAUCAACUGAGCCAUCUUCUAAACUUAACAUUUUUAUUACUAUUUAAGAUUAUUUAUGCAGCUCACACCAAUACAGUUUUAUUGCAGAGGGUUUUCAGAUGCCAAGAAAAAAGAUAAACUUAUUCACUUUGGUAUUAAUGGAGUGAAAUUUGACAGAAAGGCCAUGCUAUCAUAUGUAUCUCCACCAUGAUCAAUGAGAUGCCUGGCUUUUUGCCUGUCUCUAUGGGUUUCUAAUAAUCUGUGGUGCCAGGAGGAAUAUUGGCUCUAGUAUGCACUUCUCCGAUGAAGGAGAAUAGCAGUAGACAGUGUGUAAUACAAAUGAAGAUGUUCACUAGUUUCCUUCUAAAAUAACCUUUUAUCCACACUGGCCUCAAUUAACUGCAGAAGGUUUUAAAUACUUUUCAUUACAUUUGUGGUGAGUGUGUGUGUGUGUGUGUGUGUGUGUGUGUAUAGUGUAUGUAGUAUGUGUAGUGUGUAUAGUGUGUGUAGUAUGUAUGUGUAGUGUGUGUAUGUAGUGUGUGUAGUGUGCAUAGUGUGUAGUGUGUAGUAUGUAGUAUGUAUGUGUAGUGUGUGUGUGUAGUGUGUGUGUAUAUGUAUGUAGUGUGUGUAUGUGUAUAGUGUGUGUGUGUAGUGUGUUUGUGUGUAGUGUGUAUAGUGUGUCUAGUAUGUAUGUAUAGUGUGUGUGUGUGUUUGUGUGUAGUGUGUAGUGUGUAUGUGUGUAGUGUGUGUAGUGUGUAUAGUGUGUCUAGUAUGUAUAUGUAGUGUGUGUGUAUGUGUGUGUGUGUGUGUGUGUGUGUGUGUGUGUGUGUGUGUAGUGUGCAUGUGCAUGGAAGCCACAGAGUGUAUGAGGAGGGCAAAGGAGAACUUGCAGGAGUCAGUUCUUUCCUUCCACUAUGUAGGUUCUGGAGAUUGAACUUGAGUUGUCAGCCAUUUUUUUUAAUUGGUUAUUUUAUUUAUUUACAUUUCAAAUGUUAUCCCCCUUCCCAGUGUUUCCUCCACAAACCCCAUAUCCUAUUUCCCCUGCUUCUAUGAGGGUGUUCCCCUAUUCACCCACCGACUCCCACCUCACCACCCUAACAUUCCCCUAUGCUAGGGCAUUGAGCCUUCACAGGAUCAAGGUGCUCCCCUCCCAGUGGUGCCAGAGAAAGCUAUCCUCUGCUACAUAUACAACUGUAGCCAUGGGUCCCUCCAUAUGUACUCUCUGGUUGGUGGUUUAGUCCCUGGGAGCUUUAGGGUGUCUGGUUGGUGAAUAUUUUUGUUCUUCCUAUGGGGUUGCAAACCCCUGCAGCUCCCUCAGUCCUUCCAGUGACUCCUCCACUGGAGUUCCUGUGCUCAGUCCAAUGAUUUGUUGUGAGCAUCUGCAUCUGUGGCAAGCUCUUUUUCCUGCUGAGCUCUCCCACCAGUCCAUGUAGGCUUUGUAUUGAAUGUGAGGAACUCUGACUGUUUAGAAGUCAUUCCUCCCUCCCUUCCUUUCUCUCUCCUUCCUUCCAUGCUUCUCUCUCUUCCUUUCCUUGAAGAAGAAAAAUAUAAGUCUUGUUCUAUGGGAUUACACUGACAAGAAGUUUCACUUUAAUUUUCAAUGGUAUUAGAACCAUUAGAAUAACCCAUGAGGGGAACACACAGAAAAUUCUGGGAAGAUGUCAGAGAAAAGAGGAUAGAUAAAUGAAAUCCAGUAAGUAAUAAAGAAUCAGAAGCCAUGAGUUUAAGAGGGGGUGGAGGUCAGGGUGGUAGAAACAAAGGGAGUUGGAGAGGGAAGAGAGAGGGUGAGAAAAAAAGUAAAAAUAAAAGAAGAAGAAAGGUAUGCCAAAAAUAGCCAGCACAUUUUCUAAAGGAGUGCACCGUGUUCUCCUUUCACUUUGUAUUUUAAUUGUUUACAUGUACUUGAGAUAAUCACACAUUUUAGAAGAAGCUGAAGGCACAGUGGGGGUACCUUUUAUUUAUGUGUGUAGUGUGUGUAGUGUUACACACUACCUUUUACAUAUUUGAGGAUAACUCUGACAUCAGGAUCCCAUGUCCUGGAUACUUAAGAACAUAUUUUCUUCAUAAAACAGUGAUUAAUUAAGAACGUGACAUUGAUGCCUUAAGGCCACAUGGUAGGUUUGCUGCUGAUCUUGUGACAAAUAUUCCAGAGAAACAGUUUAAGAAGAGUCCACCUUAACUCAUGGUUUCAGAGGUUCCCUUGCUUGGCACUUGAAUCUGUAGUGAGACCAUGCAUCAUGGAAAGCAGAGAGAGGAAGAGCUGAGAACAAGGCACCUCUUCACAGGGGAUCACUCACAGGAACCGUUUUCCAGUUAGGAACCGUUUUCCACUCCUCAAGGCUUCUGGUGAUCACGGCUGAGUAUCAACUGGAAGUUUCCUCAGUUUGAAUUUAGAGUACCUCCUGCAUGUUUUCAGGUUCUCUGUCUAUGAAAGAAACACCCACUAUGUUCUGUGAUCUUUUUAUUGCUCCCAGCAUGGUAUGACCUUAGAUGGGUCCUUGGCUGAUGGAACGUACAUAGAAUCCUAGAGAAGGUAGAGCCAGACAUCCCUGGGGAAAGCUGCUCUCUUCCUUGUGGAGUUCAUAGACAUUUUGUAGAAGAGUUUUGCUAGAUUAUUUAAAUGAUUCCUCCCUCAUAUUUCAUCAAUUUGUACAUUUAUCUUAUUAUAGGGCCAUAGUACCAGGUGUCCCAUGCCACCUAUAUAAGCACAUUUCAAUGCUUAUAUAAUCCCAGAUUUGAUCAGAAGGCAUCCAGUCAGACUCAUAUGUGUCUUGACAGACUUCCCUAAUCAUUCUUGAAGCAAAUCUUUUUUUUUUUUUUGGUACAUGUGUGUGCACCUGUGCUAUAUGUGUGUAUACAUGCUCAUGUAUGUAUGCAUGUGCAUGUACUUGCCAGCCCAAGCAUAGUGCAAGAUGCUGUCUUUAAAACAAAAUAAAAACACACAACAGUUUUCUCUUUAAAACCAUAUCAGUUGAGAUUUGGGUUAACUAAAAUUCGUGGUGAACUUUGAGUGUAAGUCAUCAGAUAUGCUGAUUCUGAAUGUUGGAAAAUAAGCAGUAACUUAUAAAGAAAUACUAACUGUUGGUGUUGAGAGGCAAGGCUGUUGAGUGCACUAUGCUUGUGAAUCUCAGAGAGAUGCUAUGUUGAAUGGUGACAGGAUGCAGAAUAGGUGCUCAGCAACCUCGAGACCCUUAGAAGUAAUACAGAAGGAACAAGUAGAAGAGUGAAGAGAAAUGGAAUGACCUGGAAAAAGAAGUGUGAACAAGCACAAUUCCCAAAGAGACUUACACUAUCUGUUAUGGGAAUCCUUACUUCCUUCUGCUAUUUUUUGGAGAGGCAGUCUUGGUAUCCUUGAGAAAGUUGAGUCUCCAGCCCACCAUUAGCUUUCCCUAACCAUUGCUACAUUCACUUCUGCAGCACUUGUUGACAUGCAAUGUGUUAGUUAGCUUCCUGACUUCUCACUUAUAUGUCCACUGCAUGAUUAAACAGGAGUUUGCUACUGUAUCAGCGGUGCCUACAGCUGUUCCUGGUAUGCAAUAGCUGGUAAGUAACAUUGAAACAAUGGACGGAUGAAAACACUACUAGGAGCAUAGCAAUGGACAUUAGGCUAAGACAACCUGGAAAGAGUAAAGAUUCAAUGACUCUCAUUAUUGGAAUUAUCAAGUAAAAUGAAACUGAAAGAGAAAGGGAUGUAUAAGAAUGAGGGAAAAAAAAAGAAGAGUGAAGUUUUGGACAGAGAGUAAUGGUGCUCUUGUUUCUAAACACAGACGAUGGCAGUGGUGUGGUUAGGGUGCUGUCUGGGACUGCAUGUGUGAUACCCAGAAGCGUGAUGCUACCAGCAGCCCCUGGAGCCAAAGCCAGAGUCCACGGGGACUUAAGCAUAUUAACUAUCUGAGGAAGGAGGUGGAUUAUUCAGAUGCUAUUGACAAUUGAUAGCCACAGGUGAAAGAAGAGUCAUUCUUUAUGUAUGUGGCCAUUGAUGACUUUCUCUUGCUCUGGUGAGAUGUCCCCCAGCCAUGUCCAUAUGGACAUUAGUAACUGGACUCAGAAAGUUCUACUAAAGAAGAUACAAAAUUAGGAGAAGGAGGUCUUAGUGAGGUAGAGCCAGAGGGUUGGAGGGGGUGAGUCCGUGCAUGAUAUUUUAUUGUAUACACGUAUGAUAUUUUUAAAGAUUAAAAAAGGUGGAUUAAAACUUUAAUGCAAGGCAAGGGUCAUGUGCAGAAUUAGAAAUAAAUGACGCUGGCAUGUAAGUGUGUUUAGUUCUAUGGAAUAAAAACAUCAGAUUGUGUAAGAGAACAAAAAGACAGUAAACGAGAACUUCAGCAUAAAAGUGUCACAAGUCAUCACAAAAAGGAAUGCCACUCUAACAGUAGCUAGACAUGUAUGUUGCUUCUAAUCCCAGCAGUUGUUAAACAAAACAAAGCAAAAGUAAAUAAACCAAGUUAAAACCCAAGAACAAGGAUAAGUAACAAGAUAUAAACAGAACUGAUGAAACAAAUCCAUUUAUUUUAAGAAAAUUUAACAGAAAGCUGUGUCUUUAUUAGAGGGAUCAACAGCAAAUGGACAAAUUCAAAUCGGGGAAGGGAAUAUCAUAGUUAAUGUAAUGUUAAAACAGGAAUGUAUUUAUCAACGUUAACAUAAUGUCAAAAUGAACAAUGCAGUUAGCAGGAUAAUUGAUAAAUUGAUACCCUCUUUAAAAAUAGAAUGUGUUAGAACUAAUAUGAUUAGGAACUAAGGGGAUGGGAAUGGUGGCUCUUGCCUGUAAUCCCAGCUCAUGGCAGGCAGCAGUAGAAAGGCUGUCACAGGUUCAAAGCCAUCCUGUUCUGCUCAGUGGGUCCCAAGGCAGCUAGAGCUACAUAGCAAGACCUUGUAUUGAGAACAAAAUAAAACCAAACAAAACCUCUCUCACACAAAGAAAAAGAAAUACAGACAUUCAUUAAUUAGUAGAACAAGAAAAAUUAAAAUAUUGAUAAAUUACCAAGAAUAUCAGUAAAUUAACUCACCAAGAGGCUUCUAUAAAGCCUGAUAUCUAAUUGCUAUUUAAACUAAGAGUGCACAACAUUUUUGAAAAGUUGGGGCAUUUUAUUUUAUUUGCCUCCUCACUAACUUAGGGGUUGGGAUAACAUUGUGACUAGAAAAACACUCAGAGGAAUUUACUUUUAACUGUUUCAAGGGACAAAUUCAUUAUAUAAGCAAGGCAUGCUCAGGGCCAAAGCAAUAGCUAACAGGUACCUAGGCAUUCCCAGUAACAGAAAGGUGGGGCAAAAAAGAAGAUAGAGUUCAUGGAUAGAUCAUUGGAUGAAUUUGAUAGCCCCAGAGCCCUGGAAGCACAAGUACAGGGCCUUGUUUCCUAGAAUAGGCAGAGGAGGGCUGUACUGGCUGGUUUUGUGUGUCAACUUGACACAAGCUGGAGUUACCAUACAGGAAGGAGCCUCUCUUGAGGAAAUGCCUCCAUGAGAUCCAGCUGUAAGGCGUUUUCUCAAUUAGUGAUCAAAGGUGGGAGGACCCAUUGUGGAUGAUGCCAUCCCUGGGCUGCUAGUCCUGGGUUCUAUAAGAAAGCAAGCUGAGCAAGCCAGUGGAAGCCAGACAGUAAGUAACAUCCCUCCGUGGCCUCUGCAUCAGCUCCUGCUUCCUGACCUCUUGAGUUCCUGUCCUGACUUCCUUUGGUGAUAAACAGCAACGUGGAAGUGUAAGCUGAAUAAACCCUUUCCUCCCCAACUUGCUUCUUGGUCAUGCGUUUUGUGCAGGAAUACAGACCCUGAUUAAGACAAGGACAAAUGGACACUGAAAUUAAAGAGGCUCAGGACUGUCCCUUGUGGAAGCUGACAGCUGUGAGCAUGUACAGCUUGGUGCUCAGUGUCUGACCUGCUUCAGCCUGUGCCCCUCCUUAGUGGUGUGUUAAGGUUCAUAUAGGUCUGUGACCCUGGCACUUGUCAACAGACUCUUCCAGUAGGUCAGCAGACCGAGCUGAAGGAACAUUGUGUUGGCUUAUCUUCUACUGUCUUCCACUGAAGGGCACGGAAACUGUGAUGAACGUGUGCAGGGGAAUAAUUGGCCCGGCUGACUUGACAGGAGGCUAUGCUAGAUGCCCUGGCCAAGAAGUCCAGUUUAUCACCCAUUUGUGUAGUCUAUACGUUAAUCAGACUUUUCAUCACUGUGACAAAGUAACAGAGCUGAACUAUUCAAAGGAUGGGAUAUUCAAAGGAGAGACUCAUAGUUUUAGAGGUUGCAGAUUAUCGUGAUAGGAAAGGCAUAUCAAGGCAUAUCUGAUCACAUCGUGGGGGUUGGGGGAGGAUAGGAGGGAAAUGACAGUGAUGGAGAGUGAAUGAGAGUGACUGAAUGUCUGGGCUGCUGGGUCUCUCCUUUCUCCCUCUGUGUUCAUCUGUGUCCCUAUGGCGUGGUGCUACCCACAUUCAGGGAGGGACUUCCCUGGAAAAAGUCUUCUCUGACAUACUCAGAGAUAUGCUUACCAAUCUCCUAGCACUUCUGAAUUCAAACAAAUUAGCAAUCAAGAUUAUUAACUGUCUUAGUUAGGGUUUUACUGCUAUGAGUAGACACCUUGACCAAGGCAACUCUUAUAAAGGACAACAUUUAACUGGGGCUGGCUUACAGGUUCAGAGGUUCAGUCCGUUAUCAUCAAGGUGGGAACAUGCCAGCAUCCUGGAAGGCGCAGUGCAGGAGGAGCUGAGAGUUCUACAUCUUCAUUGGAAGGUUGCUAGCAGAAUACUGACUUCCAGGUAGCUAGGGUGAGGGUCUUAGUCACAUGCCCACAGUGACAUACCUACUAAAACAGGGCCUCAUCUCUUCAUAGUGCCACUCCCUGGGCCAAGCAUGUACAAACCAUCACAUUCACCAUGAUUCUUAAGCUUCAAUGCUAUUCAUGAUCAAAAGAUUACAUCUUCUGUACCCCAGCAUCUUAGCUGACCUCAUACCUGCGGACACUUACUCCUGCUGAUGCUUAAGCAGGUCUUUCACAGAAGAAAACCAUCCUCCUCUGGCAAUACAGGCUACUGUGUUGGAGAUGAGUUGUGAAACCUGUACAUGUAGUCUUCAGGGCCUCUAUAAGCCUCCAAGGCCAGCUCUAUGAAAAAUAUGGCUGUUGUUGAAGCCCAAGGACCGAGGGACUUUGUGAGAUGUGUAGACCAGGUGACUGAGAGAAGAACAUUCCAGUUGUGUUCGUGUUCCAGAGAUCUGUGGUUUGUUGAAUGCUGGGCACGUGGGUUUGCACUGAAUGCCCACAUAACAGCAUUUCUAGAGGUUAUCUUUAUGCUGUAGCUGAACAUGCUGAGUUCUCAGCCAGUGAGUGUAAGCAGAUAAUCACAGUCAGGGCUAAGAGUGAAGAGAGGUUUACUGCUUACAACAAACUAGGAAGUGGGUAUGCACACAUGUGUGUAAAAUAUAUACGUGUGUGUGUGUGUGUGUGAGUGUGUGUGAGUGUAUGUGUGUGUGUAUGUGUGUGUGAGUGUGUGAGUGUGUGUGUGUAUGUGUGAGUGUAUGUGUGUGUGUGUAUGUGUGUGUGUGUGUGUGUGUGUGUGUGUGUGUGUACCUGUGUAGGCCAGAGAUCAACAUCAGUCUUUCUCCACCUUAUUGUAUACAUGUUUGUAUGUGUGUGUGUGAGUAUGUGUAUGUGUGUAUGUGUGUGUAUGUGUGUGUAUGUGUGUGUGUGUAUGUGUGUGUGUAUGUGUGUGUGUGUGUGUGUGUGUGUGUGUGUAUGUGUGUGUGUGUACCUGUGUAGGCCAGAGAUCAACAUCAGUCUUUCUCCACCUUAUUUUUUUAUAACACAGGGUCUCUUACUGAAUCGGAAGCUCAUCAAUUUGUUAGACUGUUUGGUCAAUGACCUCCAGGGAGCUGCUGAUCUCUGUCUCCUCUCACCAUCCUUCAGUACUGGCAUUACAGGUGCAAGCCAUCACACCUGGUUUCUAAGAAGAUUUUGGGUACCUGAACUCAGAGGUCUCUGGUGAGGCUCUUCUGAGCUCUACAAGUUAAAUGUUUUCAACCCUGAGUUCUUUUCUGUCAAGAGAUUCAUGAAAGGAAAUAUCUGGGACAGCAGCUUAUUUAUCCUCAAAUGUAGGCUGAAUGUCAGCCAUCUUGCCUGGCACUGUCUCAGACAGCAGAAGGAAGGCUGGGCUGGCCCCAGAGACACGGCUCAAUGAUGCUAAGAGCCAUAGUAGAGUUUAGUCAUUUCUUAGUGCGGGGAGCUCUAUAGUUCUUAAAAUAAGGGCAUUUUGAAUAAGAUCACACCAUGCACCACCAAAAUUGAAACAAAGAAUAUUCUGAGCACACACAGUUUAAUUAUCACAUUUAUUCUAACAGAUUUUAAAAUCAUUACAGUUCUGUCUCACCUACAGGUGUUUAAGUAGAAAGGAAGAGUUCACCGCAUCAGAGUGAGGUAGGGAGUCUUCCCACAUGUGGAGACAGGCGCACACCUGUCUUCAUCUGUAGUGAUUGAGAAGUGCGGAUCAUUCAGGAGUGGAGCUUAUAUUGACUGCAGCAUGUAUCCUGAGACACUAAAAGUGGGAGAGAGAAAAAAAAUGCAACUGUCUAGACAGGAAAGUGAGCCAUCAUUUGUGUCUAUUACACAGAGUCAGGAUUAUCUUUGUUAAAUACGUUAUUUUUUCAUGUAUGUUUACAUGUAUGGUGCAUGCGUAUGAGUGUAGGAGUUUGUGUGUCACUUUAUGUCCAUUGUAUUUUUCUAUUGUUUUCUGUCUCAUUGCCCCAAGAAAGGGUCUCUUAUCAUCCAGAAAGUUACUGUUGUUGGUUGACCAGCAAGCUCCUGGGAUCUGUUCCUCCCUGCCUCUUCCCCAGGGCUUGAGUUACAGGCGUGCACCGCCAUGGAAGCUUCUCACAAGGGUACUGGUGAUUUGAACUCAGAUCUCCAUGCUUGGAGCAAGUGCUGUUACCUACUGAGCUGUCUCCCCAGCUCCUUGAAUAUUUUCUUGAUUACACUUUUAUUGCUAUGCAAGUGUCCUGCUUAUCUGCUCACAACUUUAUGUAAGUUAAAGAAAAUGUGUAGCAUAUUCAAAGUCAUAUAUCCCACUGAUAGUCCAUUAAUAAUAGCCUCAUGAUUUUCUAUAAAGAACAUUUAUAUAGUUGUAUUGUAAUCGUAUGUGCAUUAUAAAAAUGUGCUAAUACAGACUCAGCCUUCUCAUAAAUUUGACAAUAAUAAAUUUUUCUGCUUCUGUGACUAGCAGCCAGAACACAAGAAUGUAGUUAGAAGAAUGAGAAAGGAAUGUGUAAAUGCCAAUAAAAUUAAUUAUCUGUUGGCUUGUUAAUUCUCUCUCUCUCUCAAUUUCCAUUAAGUUAUAGGCAAAAUCAAAGAUCAUUAACCAACUAAAAAAAUGCUGCAGCUUCAAUUCCCACCAAUGGUAUAAUUUGUAUACAGUCACAAGCAUGGGUGGAGGUCAAGAAUAACUGAGAACUUGG